GCAAUUGAUAUUAAUAUCGGGCCUUCUCUAGUGCCAUAGAGCUCAAGGACUGAGGUGAGAACAGCUGGUUCCAGGCCAGUGCUGCUGACAUCGCAGUUCAUCUCCUGGAGGAUUUUAUGGUCUUUCCUAUCGAUCACAAAUGGCUGCCUGAAGAAGUUGCCCAUGUUUCUGCAUGUGAUCGUCAGCUCUGGGUCCAGCGAUACAGGUUUAUUUGAAGAUUGUCCUUAGACGAAGAACAGGGUCUUAACCUUCCAUCAGAGCUGACAGCGUUCCUUAAAUGUUUUGUCUGCCUUUAUCUUCAUCCACACAAGUGCAGAAGUUGAAUGAAAGUUUUUUGGGAGGUAAGCACUCUCACUUUGUGACUCCC
rnacentral:lncRNA from 1 species